ensembl:lncRNA
GCAAACCAGUGACCUCAUUUGGCAUUCAGCAGAAUAAACAUAUACUGGUUUGGCCAGCAAGUUUGUACAAACUUUUUGGCCAACCCAUUACAUAUCUCUUGCAACACUGAAGGGAACACUGGAUUUUCUAGAGUUACAGAAGGAUAACAUGAAGGACUUCAAUCAUGUGACAAUGGAAGAGAUUUUUAAAGUCACAUAUGACUACAUAUAAUUUUUUCCAUCAUAACUAAAAGACCAGGGCAUCUUCCCAACCCAGAGGUCAACCUGCAUCUCUUGCAUCUCCUGUAUCAGCAUUGGCAAACAGGUUCCUUACCACUAUCACCACCUGGGAAGCCCAGGAAAGCCAGAUACAUUAGAGAUUAAUCAUAUAAACCGGGAGAGAUCUACAUUGGUGCAGCCAGGAGCUAAUUCUAAGGUGCCAGUGGCAUUUGGAGAUGCAGAGUUUUCAACCUUCAAAGCUACUGAGGUUCUUGAGUAUCUGACUGAACUGUCGGAUACCACAGAGAGACUGCAAGACUGAAAAGUAGCAAUGGCUUUGAUCAUUUGCUGAGAAUUUUAAAUGAACUUGUUAUCAUGCUCAUUUAGACGCUUUGGAAAAUGUAUUAUCGUUUAACCAGUUGAUUUAGGUAAGCUUACUGAAGAGUGCUUCACUUUGCACUUGUUGAACUUAAGGAUUGUUUAUACUUGCUUCCUUGGAACAAACACGUUCAUAGUCCAAAUUAUAAUGUGAUCUUUACUCUUCCUCCCCCUCCCGCCCCACUCUGGUGGUUUCCUACAGUUCAAAUAUGAAGACUUUCUCAUACUUUAGAUUACAAAAUUAUUGUUUACUGGUAAAAAAUGCCAAGGACCAUCCAUUGAUGGCAUCCCAUUGAUAUUCAACCAAAUGAACUCUGGGAGUAGUCUAGCGGAAUCCCAGUAAGUGAGAAAACAAACAUGACUUAUUCAGGAAAACAACAGUCAUUAACAGUGGAACCGAUGAUUACAGGGUGGUAAAACUGCUUUUUUUUUUUUCAGAACAGAUAGGUUAGUUAGAACAAAGUUAGUUAAAGGCUGACAGGCUGAAUUUUCUUGUGGUAAAUGCAG